rnacentral:rRNA from 1 species
GUUCCUGGCUCAGGAUGAACGCUAGCUACAGGCUUAACACAUGCAAGUCGAGGGGAAACGACAUCGAAAGCUUGCUUUUGAUGGGCGUCGACCGGCGCACGGGUGAGUAACGCGUAUCCAACCUGCCCAUCACUUGGGAAUAACCUUGCGAAAGUAAAGACUAAUGCCCAACUGACAUCCCACCGAAGGACGAUCCGAACUAGGGAGUUAAAGAAUUUAUUCGGUGGAUGGAGUGGGGAGGUGCGUCUGAUUAG